GAGAAGGAAUGAGUGGGAAUGUGGUGUAGGGUGAAAGAAGGAAUGAAUGGGUAUGCAUUUGAAACUGAGAGAAGGAAUGAGUGGUAACGUGGUGUAGGGUGAAUGAAGGAAUGAAUGGGUAUGCAUUUGAGACUGAGAGAAGGAAUGAGUAGUAAUGUGGUGUAGGGCGAAAGAAGGAAUGAAUGGGUAUGCAUUUGAGACUGAGAGAUGGAAUGAGUGGUAAUGUGGUGUAGGGUGAAAAAAGGAAUGAAUGGGUAUGCAUUUGAGACUGAGAGAAGGAAUGAGUGGUAAUGUGGUGUAGGGUGAAAAAAGGAAUGAAUGGGUAUGCAUUUGAGACUGAGAGAAGAAAUGAGUGGUAAUGUGGUGUAGGGUGAAAGAAGGAAUGAAUGGGUAUGCAUUUGAGACUGAGAGAAGGAAUGAGUAUUUUAGACUGAGAGAAAUAAUGAGUGGGAAAGCAUUUGAGACUGAGAGAUG